UUCUCAUAGUACAGGGGUAUAUUUGGCCCUAUUCCGUUAUUUUAUUCAAACCGUAGCCUUUUGGGGUUCUAUAAAUAGAACCCCAUAUUCUUCAUCUCAGACCACGGUUGGAAGGGCUAGAACAAGUGUUCUUACAAAGAACUUUCUGAGUUUAAAGUUCUGAAACCUAAGUUCAUUUUCACUUAAAAUUUUCUCUCGUCUUCUUUCGAGGUUCAAAUCUUUGGUGAAAGGAAGCAUUUUCGCUCUCGUAGCCUCAGUCGCUGCUCCGCAACAGAUUAAGGUGCUAUACGACUUGAGUGUGUUACCGUUGACGAGUGCUCGAUGAAAGGUAACAGAGUCUAAGCCAACUUUGAAGAACUUCCAAGAGAAGUGAAAGGGCUUGUCAAUAUGAUUAAAUAGAGACUUCCUAAUUUUAGGAUUAGGAGCAAAAAGAUCAAGAACAUCAAAUACUCUGAUGUGGUUCCUCAUGUAUAGUCUAAUCUUAUACUUUUGGAAGCUUAACUACGAUCAAGAGAGUCAUAUUCUCAUCCUCUGUAUAG